rnacentral:rRNA from 1 species
AGUGAACGCUGGCGGUAGGCCUAACACAUGCAAGUCGAACGGCAGCACAGUAAGAGCUUGCUCUUACGGGUGGCGAGUGGCGGACGGGUGAGGAAUACAUCGGAAUCUACUUUUUCGUGGGGGAUAACGUAGGGAAACUUACGCUAAUACCGCAUACGACCUACGGGUGAAAGCAGGGGAUCUUCGGACCUUGCGCGAUUGAAUGAGCCGAUGUCGGAUUAGCUAGUUGGCGGGGUAAAGGCCCACCAAGGCGACGAUCCGUAGCUGGUCUGAGAGGAUGAUCAGCCACCCUGGAACUGAGACACGGUCCAGACUCCUACGGGAGGCAGCAGUGGGGAAUAUUGGACAAUGGGCGCAAGCCUGAUCCAGCCAUACCGCGUGGGUGAAGAAGGCCUUCGGGUUGUAAAGCCCUUUUGUUGGGAAAGAAAAGCAGCAGGUUAAUACCACGCUGUUCUGACGGUACCCAAAGAAUAAGCACCGGCUAACUUCGUG